rnacentral:rRNA from 1 species
UACAGAGGUCCCGAGCGUUGUUCGGAUUCAUUGGGCGUAAAGGGUGCGUAGGUGGCGCCGUAAGUCGGGUGUGAAAUUUCGGAGCUUAACUCCGAAACUGCAUUCGAUACUGCGGUGCUUGAGGACUGGAGAGGAGACUGGAAUUCAUGGUGUAGCAGUGAAAUGCGUAGAGAUCAUGAGGAAGACCAGUGGCGAAGGCGGCAUCCUGGACCGACACUGACACUGAGGAGCGAAAGCCAGGGGAGCAAACGGG